CAGAGCUGGCUGGCUGUGCACCAUCUAAGCAGAGUUUCAACACCUGCAAAUCCUUUUCGCUAAAAGAUGGACAACCAUCAAAGAGCUGGCACUCUAGAGGACAGAGCAAGGCCCAUAUCCCUUUGAGCAAGAGUCUGGAAGAGAUCAAAGCAAAUUCUCCCAGGGAAUUUGUAGUGGAGCAUGUUUGCAGGGAGUCUGCACGUGAACAUGACCUAAGCUUGCUCUAAGCUGGCGGCAUGAUAAAUCAUGAGCAGGUUUCUUUAGAGAAGGCCAGAGUGAGCUUGACUGGUGCUUACAGUCUCACGGUCACAGUUUUCUGAAGUUUUAUGCGCCUUGUCUUGGUGUUGGGUUCAGGGCGGAAGCCGAGAAAACCCACUUCAAAGACAGAAGCCUAAAGUGCAAGCUUUAUUUUCUGCUCUCACAGGGAGGCUGCCAGUUCAGGAUAUGAACCAAGUCCCCGAAGGGAGAUUGUACAACGUUUUUAAAGGAUGGGAACACAAGAGGCCUUGCAAUGAAUCAGAAUGCAGGUGAGAGCCCCACAGUCAUCCAACUAGACUGUUCCAGACUGAGUUUCCUCAAAGCAGUGUCUUCAUGUGUCAUAUUAAUUUUAGGGAGGAGGGAACAUAGUCCUACCUGCUCUCCAGGUAAAGUAGCUUGUGCCCAAUCCCCAAAAAGAAGAGGAGGAGGAGGAGGCAGGGGAAGAUGGAGGAAGUCAAUGAGACAGGGCCCUCAAAAGGCCAAAGUCCAAGAGGGGACUUGACUGCAGAGAGCUGAAAACCAGGUGAUCUGGAAAGGCCCAUUCACCCACGUUUACUUCCUUGCUCCACCCUUGUGUCAAAAUAUGAUUGGUCAAAGCAACAGCCCACCCCCCUGACCUUGUGUUCCCAUCCUUUAAAAAUGUUGUACAAUCUUCCUUUGUGG